UUCUCUUGAGAGCGGCGGACGGGUGAGUAAUGCCUAGGAAUCUGCCUGGUAGUGGGGGAUAACGCUCGGAAACGGACGCUAAUACCGCAUACGUCCUACGGGAGAAAGCAGGGGACCUUCGGGCCUUGCGCUAUCAGAUGAGCCUAGGUCGGAUUAGCUAGUUGGUGAGGUAAUGGCUCACCAAGGCGACGAUCCGUAACUGGUCUGAGAGGAUGAUCAGUCACACUGGAACUGAGACACGGUCCAGACUCCUACGGGAGGCAGCAGUGGGGAAUAUUGGACAAUGGGCGAAAGCCUGAUCCAGCCAUGCCGCGUGUGUGAAGAAGGUCUUCGGAUUGUAAAGCACUUUAAGUUGGGAGGAAGGGCAUUAACCUAAUACGUUGGUGUCUUGACGUUACCGACAGAAUAAGCACCGGCUAACUCUGUGCCAGCAGCCGCGGUAAUACAGAGGGUGCAAGCGUUAAUCGGAAUUACUGGGCGUAAAGCGCGCGUAGGUGGUUCGUUAAGUUGGAUGUGAAAUCCCCGGGCUCAACCUGGGAACUGCAUUCAAAACUGACGAGCUAGAGUAUGGUAGAGGGUGGUGGAAUUUCCUGUGUAG
rnacentral:rRNA from 1 species